CUUUCCCACGGGGUACACGGCGCACAUUUGCGUACCAGCCGCAGCCACGCUCAUGCCUUUGAGUUCCCGUCUGCUCGUAUUCGAGGUGGCAUCUCGUCACGCAGAUGUUGCCUUGGCUGUGUGUGGCCAGCCAAACCCCGGCACACAGGGCGGCAGGCCAGUUGUUUUCGAAACGAGUCGUGGAGGAAGCUGAGCCCAGUCAAGAGUGGGGGGCGCACCGCAAAAAAUUUGCACACAAGUUAAAAACACAUUUUUCUGGCAGUGUAAAUCUCGGGCAGGCUAAUUAAGCCGCGGCGGUUGGCAUGGAAUGGAACGCACGAGCGUUCGGGAGAGAAGCUUACGGGUAUGGGGCGGGUCACACGUGCCAACACCUAGCCACCAGCAGUGUCUCGGACACACGGGGGAAACGAUCAGCAAGCAUGCACAAUAUGAGGAACCUCUCCAUGCAAAAUGUCUUGCAGUCUUUACCUGGUCAAGCGGAGUUCAUGAACAGGGGAGGCCCAUAACAUCCAUCGCUGCUGUGUGCCACUCUUUACCUCGUUGCACAGUUCUGAGGUUGAAGGUUUUCCAUCUUGGUGGCCGGUGCAGAUUUGAUGAGACGUUUCAUGAAGUCGUGUCUUCUGGCGUGGACGUCUGACUGGGGACUCGGGUUCCACUGCCGAGGGCAGAUCCGAGCUGUUUUAGACUGGGGACACUUUUGUCUGACUGGGUUCAUUUACAGUUCUGCUGGAGACUCCGGGAAAUGAAACAGAUACCUUUUGUCACAUCCUCCAACUCCACAUCCCUCUCUCUCUCUCUCUCUCUUUCGCUCACUCUCUCUCCCUCUCUCUCUUUCUCUCUCUCCCUCUUUCUCUCU